CCGGGAACCCCGAACAUCCCCUUUCUCUACUCUUUCCCUUUGGAGUCUAUAGAGGGAGAAGCAGAGCCUAAGGCUUCAUCAGUUUGAAUACUGGCUGGGGCUGGGCAAGUUAGUGGCUCAAAGUGUUGAAUCUGUCCCUAAAGCAGGGACAGAAAUGGAGGCUCAGGAGGUAGAGGUGGCAGUGGGCGUGCAGGAGAAGCUGUAGGUCAGGAGGUAGAGGUGGCAGUGGGCGUGCAGGAGAAGCUGAGGUCGGGAGGUAGAGGUGGCAGUGGGCGUGCAGGAGAAGCUGUAGGUCGGAAGGUAGAAGUGGCAGUGGGCGUGCAGGAGAAGCUGUAGGUCGGGAGGUAGAGGUGGCAGUGGGCGUGCAGGAGAAGCUGUAGGUCAGGGGGUAGAGGUGGCAGUGGGCGUGCAGGAGAAGUGUAGGUCAGGGGGUAGAGGUGGCAGUGGGCGUGCAGGAGAAGCUGUAGGUCGGGAGGUAGAGGUGGCAGUGGGCGUGCAGGAGAAGCUGUAGGUCAGGGGGCAGAGGUGGCAGUGGGCGUGCAGGAGAAGCUGUAGGUCGGAGAGGGUGCAGAGUGGAGAACAGAUGAGCUGGAGUCACACCAUGCCCUAUACCCAGCCAGAGGCCGAAGUGAGCCUGUCACGGUAAUGCCACUGCCUGCUUGAUUCCCUCCCAUGCCUAGCCUGGGUUCUUCAUGAUCCCUGAGGCCCUCUUUGAUGUCAUCCCGCUGCCUCAAAACCUGUGUGUGCUGGUGGCUCCCUCUGCUUUCCUUCCAGAUGACUCCUUCGCUUCAGCUCAAAUGUCACCUUUGGCUGUUAAAAUCCUUUCCGGAGGAAGUUGUAAACAAUGCCUACCCCUCCUCCCGAGGUCUCUGAUUCCACUCCAGGGAAGAUUGCUCUGGGGGAGCCAAUGAGUUUGUUGGGAUUACUUCCAGAGCAUAGGUGAGGGGUUAGUUACUUGAAUAUGAGUGCUGCCCACCAAAAGACCGCACUGAAAAGUCUUUACCCAGCAGGGGUGAUGGU
rnacentral:lncRNA from 1 species